ACUAAAUCUCAUCCCUAAAAUUGUCAAUUUCUGGUCCCUGAUAUAGUGAAUGGGGCGUGACUGAAGUGCCACCCAUUUUUUCCUCCAAAAAUAUAAUAUAAUAUAUAAUUAAUAAUUAUAAAGAAAUAUAAAAAUAAGCAAAAACAACGUUCCUCCAUUCAUCAUUUUAGUGACUAGGGUUUACUCCCUAUAUCUCAGUCUCACAAAAUCCUUAAUUCCUCAUCAUUUUGACAACCUGUUCUAGUGUUCAUUGGAAUUUGUGCUUGACUUCUUCAUUCAAAUUGACAAUUUGUGUCUUCAACUGUUCUUCACGACCUUUUAGGGGUUUACGACUAUUCGGUUUUGGUGUGUUGUUUCAGGUAUGUUUUGUAUUUUUGUUCUGUGACAUGUCGUACUGUGCGAUUGAGUUGGGGUCAUCAUCGGAGGUAGAGUCAGCUCGCCAGGAGGUCAUUAUCAGCGGGAGAAAAGAUUAUCUGUCGCCAUUGUUGGUCGUAUCUGCCGUGCUUCCUCAUAUUUCCAAGCUGCCAGGAUGUUUCUCUAAUUUUUCUUGCUGAUUAAUUGGUUCUUCAGGGCUAUGAUUUUGUGUAUGCUUGUGUUGUUUGUCACUCCUUUAUUUUGGUCUUUCACUACAGCAUUAUUGGUAUCUCUUUAUUCUUUUCUUGAAUAUGGAUUUUCAUCUUACAUUUGUGACUUUGUCUUGUCAUCUGAUUUUACAAUUUUUUAUCCCCAAUAUUGAACUUUGAUAAACAAUUUCUAUUUCUUGUAUGUUUGGGGCUUUGGGCUUAGAUUCUUGCCAAUGUCUAAGGUCAUCUGUUUUCCCCUAUGUUCGUCGGACUCUUUAUUUUUGGUGCCGCACCCGUGUAGACACGACAUGGGUGUGGGUGUGGGAUCCGUACCGGAUAUAAUCAAUUGAUUUUGGAUACUUUGACCAAAAUCGACGGAGAAAUUUGGGACAAAUACAAUGAUUUCUGUAAUAAAAACAAAAGCUAAGAUGAAAUUGAAGAAAAUGGAAUAACUUGUAUAUAGAAAUUUAUAUGUCAGUUCUUUUCCUUAGUCCUUUUGAGAUUCUCCUCUUGAUUAAUAUUUUCUCAUCCGAAUACCUUGUAACUUUCCACAUAAUGUCUCAUAAUUAAGACAUACAACUAUAUUUUUAUAUAGUUGAUUUAUUUUUAGCCGAAUCCCCGCACCCGUAUCGAUACCUAGAUUCAUACCCCCGAAUCUUAAAUUUCAGAUCAUGAAGGAUCCGACUUCUAGAUCCGUACCCGUAUCAGACACCUGCACCCGAGACCAAGCAACGUAGGUUUUCCCAAAUGGUUUAAUUUUUUUUUCUUUUGCCUGUUACAAACUAUCUUGUGUUGUUUGUUUCAGAAGCUUUUUCUAUGUGAUGGUCAUGUUAAAAUUUGAGGUACAUUCUCCUAAAAAUCAUGUUCAUAGGAUAGCAUACUCUUAAGAAAAGGGACAGCAUACUCUACUACUUGGAUUUCAUGCUAGCAAUUUAGUGUGUGUGUCCAUGUUUGGCGACAUUCUUCUUGUGUAUCUGUGCACCAAGAAUAUGUUAUGCUAGUGGUUCAUUAUCAUCCAUCUGAAAAACACGCUUUUAGUUCAUAUCGGGUCUAUAAAUCAAAGUUCAUGACUGAUUUUGUUUGGAAAAAAAACAUGUUGUAAAACAUGUUAUAUAUAUAUAUAUAACAUUUAGAAGGCACAAUAAAUGAUUUGUUUAUCCGGAAAGAAUGCUUUGAGACUUGCUGCUCUUGAAACCUUAUUUCUUUUUUAAACUUCUAGCAUUUAGAAAUUAUAUCCCAGGAUUCACUUCUUUAAAAGUCAUACUUGGAAAAACAUUAGUGGCUGCAUCUUUAGUUGAGUCAGAGUAUGCCUUGUCCCUGCUCUAUGACUUUUCUCGGUUAAUAAAUAUUCGUUAAACAUUUGUGACUGCUGGUUUCUGCAUUCUAUUUAAGGUUAAAUGUUAGAAUACUUAAGGAAACAAAGUGAGGAUGCGUUUUGUUUUGAAAAUCAUAUACUAGGACCUGUAUUUCCAUUGUAGAGAUUAUGUCUUAGAAGUUGUCUAUUGAAUUUCAAGAUCUAUGUAUCGGAGCUGUUAAUCAUUUAGAGAUUGCCACCUUAGGGAUGUUCGCUUCAAAUUUAAAGAAAAAGUUAUAGUUUGAUCGACGUGUUAAAGCUUGUUUAGUUUCAUUAGAUAACAGGUCUUAAGACUGUCUGUUUGGCCCGUCACCUUUUCCUUGUCUUUAGUUUUAGACUUUACAUUCUAUGAUCUUUGUUGCAGUUACUCGUAAUAUUUUCCUAUUGUUGCCUCACUGCUAAUGCAUGUAGUCCUGUCUCUAGUUUUGUUAUGCAUAUUUACGUGGGUUUCCUUUUAAAUUAUGUCUGUAAAUGUCUAAAAAUAGGUGUUCUUUUCGCUGUAAGUUACCCAUUGGUUAUCUGCCUAAGACAUGUGUCAGUUUUGUGAUAAGCUUGCUUAUAUGAGUCAUUCUUGAAAAACUAUAAUUCAUUAAUUCAUAUUUGGUUAUAACAAAAAAUUGAAUAAUUCAUAAAUGUGUGAUUCGCUAAUUAGAUGAUCACUUUUGUUUAACUAACAACUAAUUUGCCUAUUGGUUAGGAUUUCUUUAAGUGUUUGUUCCUGCUUACGUGUCCUUUUAGUUUAAGUCACCUUAAGCUGAAUUAGUCAUUAAUACGCUAACACUUAGUUGACUAUUUCAUUCAGUAAAAAAAAUAAAAAAUAGUUGUCUUAAACCAUCUCAGGACAUAGUUAAAUUCAAUUACGUAAACAUGUUAAUUAAUUGACCUACUAAUAUUUGAGUUACUAGUUUCUGGAAAGAUGCGUUGCACGUUUGUUCCAUAUCAUUAUUAUAAAAUUUAUACAUACUUAAAAGGUCGAGUAAUAAAAUAUGAAUAUAAGUGAUGUGAUCAAAGGGUGGAGUUGCUAAUUAGUAAUCUCUCUUUUAGAGAAUGUGUUAUGUUUGUAUUCAACUUCAAUUAGAUAUUUCAUUUUUAAGAUUGUUAUUCCUCUUUCAUUACACGAAAGUCGAAUUUAAUAUUGUUCAUAUGUGCGGAUUAGACUUUAUAACAUUUAUGUUAACUUUUAAUUUUAAAAGAAGUACAUUACAUUCAUUAAAAUUACAACACUUCUGAAUCCUUUGGUAGAAAGUACAAUGCCCAUGUAGAAAGUACUAUGACCUGAAGGCAGCAAAAUGCUUAUACGGCCUUGACAGCAAUGAUUGAACUCCAAAUUUGGUAGAAAGUACAAUGAACAUGUAGCUAUCCACUUUAGUUCCUAGAUCUUAUCAAAUUCUUUGAAGUUAAAGUUGAAUUAUCUUUUCUUUGAUAACUUCUCUUUGGAAUCUGAGCUUUCAUCUCCUCGGUCUCUCGGAUUUAAAUUUUUCAUCGACACUUGCAAUUGCAAAUGGUCGAACUUAAUAGCUGCAAAUGAAGAAGUAGGAACUUGAGGAAUGGAUUGGAUAGAAAUGCAAUAACAUUAUAUUGUCCCGUGACAUGGUUUGCACAAAAAUCUUGUGAAGUCAUUAGACUUAUAAGCCAAGAUGUACUGUUAAAAAUUCUGUAGAAAUCUCAACAGUCACAUUAGAGAAAAGGCUUUGAAUGUUUGAUGGUUUCUUUUCAUAUCCAUUACAAGCAAAAUAUACAUGGUACAAUAGAGACUUUAAUUUCCAAAAUGAUUACAACUGUAUUAAAUAAGUUUAAAUGUGCAAUUAUUGUUGGAAGCUACCAAAAUCAAGGAAAACGUACGCACACGUUGCCUUGAGACAUACCUUCAGCAGGUUGAUUCAUUGUACAUAUAGUAACUGGUGAUUUUUUGUCUUGCUAAUUGUAACUUACAAUUAAAUAUUAGUCCACCAAACUUACAAUGUAUAAUUACCCAUCUCUACAAUACAGUAAAAAGAAUAUUAUAGGAUAGAAGGGUACGAAUGUCGUUUAACUUUUAAGGGGCAUUUUGGUAUUUCAACUUUGAUAGUUGGAGCUUCCCACUUUUAGAAUAGUAUGAUGAUUAGUUGGGUGCAUAAUUGAUAAAAUUAUUUCUAUGUGCUUGGGAUGGAUAUAAUGAGCCUAGUUCACGUCAGGUUGGUACAUCCUUUAUUAAUCGAAUUUGGAUUUUCAACUUUAUUUUCUACUCUUCUGAUAUGUAAUCCAAGAGCCUCAUUGAACUUGACUGUGGGAUAGGCUAUGUAAAAUCUUUGCUUUAGUAAAUCACUUAAGAGAUUAUGUUUUAACGCAAGUUGUUGCAUUUCUAGAGAUCUAGUAUUAGAGUAGCUUUUUUAGUUACCUGUUGCUUGUUUAUUUGGUUUAAUAUAGAUCAAUUGCAGUUAGACUCCUUUAAGCUAAUGUUUAUCUCUUCUUAGAACUUUUAAGAAAGUCGAUCAUACAAAGUGAAAUAGAGGGAAGUUGUGAUGUUGUGUUUACGGAACACUAAUGUCUGUUAGCAUCUUAGGUUAGGUAGUCACUUUGGAUUCAAUAUCUUGGAUCCUUGUUUGUUUCUCCAUCUACUUCGUAACCACAUGAAUGUCAUCUGGCUCUUUUUAGAUUUCUUCCAGGUUUGAUUGCUACUUUGGCCUUUUUUAUAUAUAAAUAGAUGAAUAAGUAUUUCUAGAAGUAUAGUUUUCUUUCGAGAUUUUCUAAAAUACGUCAAGUGUGUUUCUUUCUAACUUAAAUCUUAGGAACUUAUAAUACGUCAAAUGAGUUUCUUUCUAACGAUAAGGUCCUUUGAUUAUGUGUCAUUAUAUUUUACUAUUCAACCUAAAGGGAUUUCAGCAUUGCUAAAAGAAAGUGUACUUAUUCCCUGAUAUAAUUGUAGAAGCUAGUAUACUACUUUAUCACGUACAUGCUACUUGGUUUGUUUAUCAUUUUUGUAACUUUUAUUUAACCCAAUGUAUGAUGGUGAUAAUAACUUGUAUAUUUUAACUUUAGAAAUCAUUUUAUAGGAUAAAUCUAGCGUAUCAAAAUCUAUAUGUUGUGUUGGACUAAGCUUAAAUGUAUUAUAUGUAUCCAUGUUGAAUCUGCAUCCUUUUCUUUAGUGAAAUUAGACUAAUAUUCUGAUUUUCUUGUUUUAGCCACUUAAAUGAAUUCAAGAAUUAUAUUCCUAGGUGUUGUACUCAUUUUUAGACAUUAGAUGAACACAUACAAUACUAUUUCACCCAUGCUGUGUUUUCUUUUUUAAAAGAUGUUUGUUCUUGAAUUGUGUAACCCUUAUUUACUGUACCUGAGCUUUUGUGCAUAGCAGGCUUUCAAGAUUUGUAUACUGCUGCCUUUUUUGUUUGGCUUUGUUGUAGCACAUCCACGCAAGCUUCAUGAGUUGUUGCUGUGGAGGAAGAUCAAGAUCACCCCAUUCUAGUCGCAUCCCGCUUUUCACUUCCUUUAUUUUGAGGUACCCAUGACUAACAAAUUCUAGUCUUUUGUUGAUAUUUUGAUUUAUUAUUGUUUGUAUUCUUGCAGCUCCUAGUACAUUUUUGUUCAACUUCUCUACUAUAGGAUAUGAAGACUUGAGUUUACUAUUCAAGAUGCGGAUUUUGAAGACAUCGUACAAGUUAACAAGUUGAUUAUCAUUUUACUAGGAUUGUUAAACUUAUUUUUUCAUUUUUUGCUAGGGAUGUUAACUUUUUACGUAAAGGGUUGUGUAAGCCAUACAAAGACUUGUCUAUCAUGGCCAUAAAUUGCUACUAAUGGAAUAUGAAUCCAUUUCUUUGUAACGAAUUACAUAUUAUAUAUGAAAAGGAUAUGUUAUCGAUAA